rnacentral:rRNA from 1 species
UACGAAGGGGGCUAGCGUUGCUCGGAAUCACUGGGCGUAAAGGGUGCGUAGGCGGGUCUUUAAGUCAGGGGUGAAAUCCUGGAGCUCAACUCCAGAACUGCCUUUGAUACUGAAGAUCUUGAGUCCGGGAGAGGUGAGUGGAACUGCGAGUAUAGAGGUGAAAUUCGUAGAUAUUCGCAAGAACACCAGUGGCGAAGGCGGCUCACGGGCCCGGUACUGACGCUGAGGCACGAAAGCGUGGGGAGCAAACAGG